rnacentral:rRNA from 1 species
UGGGGAAUUGUUCGCAAUGGGCGCAAGCCUGACGACGCAACGCCGCGUGGAGGAUGAAGGUCUUCGGAUUGUAAACUCCUGUUGACGGGGAAGAAUGGCCCCCUUUUUAAUAAAUUGGGGGAAUGACGGUACCCGUUGAGGAAGCCACGGCUAACUCUGUGCCAGCAGCCGCGGUAAUACAGAGGUGGCAAGCGUUGUUCGGAAUUACUGGGCGUAAAGGGCGCGUAGGCGGCCGCCUAAGUCAGACGUGAAAUCCCAAGGCUCAACCUUGGAACUGCGUCUGAUACUGGGUGGCUUGAGUCCGGGAGAGGGAUGCGGAAUUCCAGGUGUAGCGGUGAAAUGCGUAGAUAUCUGGAGGAACACCGGUGGCGAAGGCGGCAUCCUGGACCGGAACUGACGCUGAGGCGCGAAAGCUAGGGGAGCAAACGG